AAGGGAACGAAAGCAGGCCUCCCAAGCCAGGAGCGGCAAACUGCUGGGAUCCAUUUCCAUGCUGUGGACUCUUUGUGCUUUGCUCUUUGCAGUAAAUCUUGCUGCUGCUCACUUUUUGGGUCUGCACCACCUUUAUGAGCUGUAACACUCACCGCGAAGGUCUGCAGCUUUACACCUGAAGCCAGGGAGACCACGAACUCAUCAGGAGGAACGAACAACUCCAGACGCGCGGCCUUUAAGAGCUGUAACACUCAACGCGAAGGUCUGCAGCUUCACUCUUGAAGUCAGCGAAACCGCAAACCCACCAGAAGGAAGAAACUCCGGACACAUCUGAACACCUGAAGGAACAAACCCCGGACACACCAUCUCUAAGAACUGUAACACUCACCGCCAGGGUCCGCGGCUUCAUUCUUGAAUCAGUGAGACCAAGAACCCACCAAUUCCAGACACAGAAGAGAAAGAGUGUGUUUUAUCCUGCAGCACGUCAGCUUCAAAGGGCUCUUACUUCAAGUGUCCAGCGCAUCAUUCUGGUAAAUUAAGAAAUCCUCGGCUUAAGAUCGUCUCUUUCAAUCACAUAUAAUGUGGGUAACUUCAUGACUAAACAUUAUAAACC
rnacentral:lncRNA from 1 species